CACUCCUACGGGAGACAGCAGUGGGGAAUAUUGGACAAUGGGCGCAAGCCUGAUCCAGCCAUGCCGCGUGAGUGAUGAAGGCCCUAGGGUUGUAAAGCUCUUUCACCGGUGAAGAUAAUGACGGUAACCGGAGAAGAAGCCCCGGCUAACUUCGUGCCAGCAGCCGCGGUAAUACGAAGGGGGCUAGCGUUGUUCGGAUUUACUGGGCGUAAAGCGCACGUAGGCGGACUAUUAAGUCAGGGGUGAAAUCCCGGGGCUCAACCCCGGAACUGCCUUUGAUACUGGUAGUCUUGAGUUCGAGAGGGGUGAGUGGAAUUCCGAGUGUAGAGGUGAAAUUCGUAGAUAUUCGGAGGAACACCAGUGGCGAAGGCGGCUCACUGGCUCGAUACUGACGCUGAGGUGCGAAAGCGUGGGGAGCAAACAGGAUUAGAAACCCGGGUAGUCCCA
rnacentral:rRNA from 1 species